rnacentral:lncRNA from 1 species
GAGUUGGGUGGUAGUGGUGGUGGUGGUGGUGGUGUAGGGUGGGUGACAAGCGAUGGGUAGAGUGACUUCCCUCACAUUUUUAUGAGUAAUUCUUUUUAGAAGUUGUGAAAUGAAACUCCUGUAAAGCAGAACAAGUCUGUUUUCUUCCAUUCUUUCAAGCCAGUAGAUGUUCAUCAAGCAGCUUGACUUGAAAGAAACCCUUUGCCAGACUUGUUUUCAUGAAUAUAAUUUUUUAAAAUGUAGAAAUUGCACAACAAUGUGAAUGUACUUAACAUGACUGAAC